GGAUAGGAGGCAGAGAGGCUUUCUGUAUUCUGCCCUGGUUUUGCCCUUUCUUCACUUUUUCUCCUUUGUGUUUACGUGAAGAGGAUAUUGAUUCCAGAAGUGACAGAGGCAAGGAGGUGAUGGCAGCUUCAGUUCUCUCCCAGCUUAGUGACAGUAUACCAGCCCAGAGGUGCUGAAGAUAACUAUUACUUUCAGGAGCUGAAGGACGUGAGAGAGAUUUGAGUGCAAGUUAUGGCUACAUCUGACAGAUGGUUCUGGAGGGUGUGAGUCCAGGAGAUGCUCAGGGAACAGACUUUGUUGCAUGAACCUGUCAAGUCCAAGAACCCUCUAGAAUAAGUGAGCCCAAGGACCCUCUAGAGACUGUUGGGGCCAAAUCCUGAAUGAUUUUCUGCAGACAACAGAUGGGAGCUCUCUGUGCUCGGCUGUCAUUUUCCCCUACCAUGAGCUGUCAUGGUCCUCAACAUGUGCUCAUUUACAC